AGUGAACGCUGGCGGCAGGCCUAAUACAUGCAAGUCGAACGGCAGCACAGUGGAGCUUGCUCCAUGGGUGGCGAGUGGCGGACGGGUGAGGAAUACAUGGGAAUCUGCCCAGUCGUGGGGGAUAACGUAGGGAAACUUACGCUAAUACCGCAUGCGCCCUUCGGGGAAAGCCGGGGACCGUAAGGCCUGGCGCGAUUGGAUGAGCCCAUGUCGGAUUAGCUAGUUGGCGGGGUAACGGCCCACCAAGGCGACGAUCCGUAGCUGGUCUGAGAGGAUGAUCAGCCACACUGGAACUGAGACACGGUCCAGACUCCUACGGGAGGCAGCAGUAGGGAAUAUUGGACAAUGGGCGCAAGCCUGAUCCAGCCAUGCCGCGUGAGUGAAGAAGGCCCUCGGGUUGUAAAGCUCUUUUGUCCGGAAAGAAAAGCACUGGGUUAAUACCCCGGUGUCCUGACGGUACCGAAGAAUAAGCACCGGCUAACUUCGUGCCAGCAGCCG
rnacentral:rRNA from 1 species